UACGUAGGGGGCAAGCGUUGUCCGGAAUCAUUGGGCGUAAAGCGCGUGUAGGCGGCCCGAUAAGUCCGCUGUAAAAGUCCAGGGCUCAACCCUGGAAAGCCGGUGGAUACUGUCGGGCUCGAGUCCGGAAGAGGCGAGUGGAAUUCCUGGUGUAGCGGUGAAAUGCGCAGAUAUCAGGAGGAACACCGAUGGCGAAGGCAGCUCGCUGGGACGGUACUGACGCUGAGACGCGAAAGCGUGGGGAGCGAACAGG
rnacentral:rRNA from 1 species